rnacentral:lncRNA from 1 species
AGAAUUGUUCUCAUGCAUGAAAAGCUUAUGGAUGUGAUCGAUAAGCCUGCAAAGAUAAUCCCCCAGAGAAUGAUGUUCAAGGCAACAAGGUUUAUCAUAAAUAAUUGGAAGAAAAACUGUUAGGAGUAUCUUGCAACUCUAAAGGACAAGAAACAAGGUGAGACAUUAAAGAAAAAUAUUUUCAAGGUUUCUUUAGCUACUACUCAUUCUUCACUGUGGGUAUUAGAUAUUGGCAGUGGUUAUAACAUUUGCAAUAUGUUGCAAGGGUGAAGAUAAGUAGAAAGUUGAAGAAAGGAGAAAUUAAUCUACAAGUUCGAAAUGUUGCAAAAGUUGCGGCCGUAGCUGUAGGAUCAAUUUCUUUAAUAAUACCUACGGGCANNN